AGCUGUGCCGCUGCCGUCUUCCUUCAAUCCGCCCGGUUGGCUGCUGGCUGUGCACCGCCUGACAGGAGAGAGGCUAUCCGGAUAGAGCAGCACACGUCUGCAGCGGAUCUGCACCUGUGCUGCGCACACCGACUGUGGAUUUAGUGCGAGAGACACAAGUUGAGAAGGACACGAAGCUGCAACAGCGAACACGGUCAGAGGUUUAUGAAAGCAGAAGUGUGAUUGUCUGGAGAUGAUGCCCAUGCAAAUGAGUGAGGCAAACAGUGUGGUGAAAGUGGCCGAGUGGCAGCAGACCUACUAUGCAUCAGACUCUGGCAUCCAAUCGGGCGCCACCACGGUGCGGGAUGAUGACAGCAGUACUGGGUACAGUGGCAGUAAGAAGUACACAAGUAAUAUAACGAGUACUACCACUGCACCUGUAACAACCAAGGCUGAAGGAGGAUCAGCUGGUGAACAGGAAGGCCCCACAGAUUUAGAUGCUCAGUACUCACUAACCCGGGCUCAGCGUGUCAGGGCUGCCAUGUUUCCAGAGACGCUGGUGGAGGGAGAGGUAGCCAUGCCUCUCCAAUCGGAUGCCACACAACAGAGCAAUGUGCAAAGAUUGGCUGAGCCAUCACAGUUACUAAAGACAGCUAUAGUCCACCUGAUCAACUACCAGGAUGAUGCAGAGCUGGCAACGAGAGCAGUGCCGGAGCUCACUAAGCUGCUUGCAGAUGAUGAUCCGGUUGUGGUGAACAAGGCAGCCAUGAUAGUCAACCAGCUCACUCGUAAAGAGGCCAGUCGCCGGGUUCUGGUGCAGUCCCCGACCAUGAUAGGUGCGGUGGUUCGCGCCAUGACUACAACAGUUGACAUGGAAACAGCUCGUUGCACAGCUAGCGUCCUCCACAGUCUGUCACACCAGAGUGAGGGACUGCAGGUCAUAUUCAAGUCCGGAGGGAUACCAGCGUUGGUUCGCAUGCUAAGUUCACCUGUGGAGUCUGUUUUAUUUUACGCCAUAACCACCCUUCACAAUCUGUUGUUGCACCAAGAGGGUGCCAAGAUGGCUGUGCGUCUUGCUGAUGGUCUACAGAGGAUGGUGCCCUUACUGAAGAAAAGCAACCCAAAGUUCUUGGCUAUCACUACAGACUGUCUGCAGCUCUUGUCUUACGCCAACCAGGAGAGCAAGCUCAUCAUACUUGCCAAUGGGGGCCCAGAUGGCCUGGUGUUCAUCAUGAGGAACUACAAUUAUGAGAAGCUUCUGUGGACCACCAGUCGGGUGCUCAAAGUACUGUCUGUUUGUCCCAGCAACAAGCCCGCCAUAGUAGAAACUGGCGGUAUGCAGGCUUUGGGUCAGCAUCUCACCGGAUCAAGUCAGCGUCUGAUUCAGAACUGUCUGUGGACACUCCGUAACCUGUCAGAUGCUGCUACCAAGCAGGAAGGGUUGGAUGGUCUGCUGCAGAUAUUAGUCACCCAGCUGGGCUCAGAUGAUGUCAAUAUGCUGACCUGCGCAACAGGCAUCUUGUCCAACCUCACCUGUAACAACUCCCGCAACAAGACUUUGGUGACUCAAUUUGGUGGUGUGGAGGCUCUGAUCCAUGCUGUGCUACGUGCUGGGGAGAAGGAGGAUGUUGCCGAACCAGCAGUUUGCGCCCUGCGUCACCUCACAUCCCGCCACCAAGACGCUGAGCUGGCCCAGAAUGCUGUGCGGCUGCACUAUGGUAUCCCUGCUGUUGUCAAGCUGCUAGGACAACCACACUAUUGGCCUGUUGUAAAGGCUACCGUUGGCCUCAUCCGAAACCUUGCACUGUGCCCAGCCAAUCAAGCCCCACUUAGGGAUGCGGGGACGAUCCCACGAUUGGUCAACCUAUUGUUAAAAGCGCACCAGGACACACAGAGGCAUGCCUCCUCGUCCCAGCAGACAUAUCAGGAUGGUGUUCGUAUGGAGGAAAUUGUAGAGGGCUGCACAGGAGCCCUUCACAUUCUGGCCAGAGAUCCUAUAAACAGAGGAGAGAUCGCCAGCAUGCAGACAAUACCACUAUUUGUGCAGCUGCUUUACUCGUAUGUGGAGAAUGUGAAGCGAGUUGCUGCAGGAGUUCUGUGUGAGUUAGCUCUGGACAAACAUUCUGCGGAACUCAUUGAUGCAGAGGGAGCAUCAGCACCACUCAUGGAGCUACUGCACUCCAACAAUGAGGGAAUUGCCACCUACGCUGCAGCAGUGCUAUUUCGAAUUUCAGAGGACAAGAGCUCAGAUUACAGGAAAAGAGUGUCAGUGGAGCUUACACACUCUCUCUUCAAACACGACCCAACUGCCUGGGAAAUGGCCCAUUCAGUUCCCCUGGAACCCACAUACUUGGCUGAUGAGUUAGAUGGCGCCUACCCUCCGUAUGGCUAUACUGACCUGCCUUUGGACACUCUGCCAUUAGACCCGGACCUCCAUGAGUCCUACAUCCCUGACAUGACCCAUGACCCAAGGCAGGCCUACCCUGAACCCCUCUAACAGAAUAAGCUGAGGGCCAAGAAAUGCCACUUUGGACACCCCUGUCAUUGGCUGAGGCCAAAAAAAUGAACAUACACUGGAAUCCAGUCAAUGAUGGGAUGAACAAAUCACAGAAAGAAAGGGCCGGUGGGAUUUAUGGAGGAAAAAAGCUACUGAAGGUCUUAAUGAGGAGAAUCAAAGAUUUCCAUCCUUUUCCGAGGUGGAAAAUCUCCCAUUUGGCAAUCAAGAACUUUCAGAAGACAGUUUUUUGAAAGUGGUUUAUUGUUGGUGUAAAUAACACAACCGUUACUUUGGUAUGAUGUCUUACAGUGGGGUGAAAGUGUACGUCAGGCUAUCUGGCACUGUUACACGGGUAACUUUUCAAAGCAAUCACAUUCAGAAAUUAUAUGUUUUGGGACAAGCAUUAGGUUGGAUUUUCCAAAUUAAAAAGCGUAAGUAAGUAAUAAGUUCUUAGUGUAAUCUUAGCUGAGCUCUUCACUUGUGUUCAAACAUGAUCUAGCAUAAUUCAUUUUGUUUUCUGAACACCUAGCAACACAUUUUAGGUUACAUUUCUAAAUAGAAGGUAACAUGGC